rnacentral:rRNA from 1 species
GACGAACGCUGGCGGCGUGCUUAACACAUGCAAGUCGAACGAUGAAGGAGAGCUUGCUCUCCGGAUUAGUGGCGAACGGGUGAGUAACACGUGACUAACCUGCCCCUUUCUCUGGGAUAACGCUCCGAAAGGAGUGCUAAUACCGGAUACGAACUCUGAACUCAUGUUCGGAGUUGGAAAGUUUUUCGGAAAGGGAUGGAGUCGCGGCCUAUCAGCUUGUUGGUGAGGUAACGGCUCACCAAGGCGACGACGGGUAGCCGGCCUGAGAGGGCGACCGGCCACACUGGGACUGAGACACGGCCCAGACUCCUACGGGAGGCAGCAGUGGGGAAUAUUGCACAAUGGGCGCAAGCCUGAUGCAGCGACGCCGCGUGAGGGAUGAAGGUCUUCGGAUUGUAAACCUCUUACAGUAGGGACGAAGCGAAAGUGACGGUACCUAAAGAAGAAGCACCGGCUAACUACGUGCCAGCCGCCGCCGUAA